GGGUGGUUUGUUCCCUUUUGUGGUGUCGGGAAUGUAGAAAGAAGCUGACGUCGGCCCCGUCUGGCUGGGCAUUGAGAAGGUACAAACAGCAAGUAGAGAGAAGCUUCCUGUCAAUCUAGGAUCUGAAGCCAGGAAUGAAUGGUGGCUCUUAUUGUAACUAGUGUUUGGUGAAAGCUAGCCUCCCUGUCAUCUGUCAAAGACUCUAUCCUUAUGUUGCAGCCUCUUCUUAGGGUUUACUAAUUCUGAUAUAUCCGUCGCAACGCUGGUAUGUUGCCAUGUGACGUACAAACAAAUUUAUCUUUUCUGAUAACUGAGAAUGUUGAUAAGAAACAUGCACCGGGAGUUCUUUGACACCUGAGGCGUUUGGGUUCAAACUUUUAGGUUGAGGAAGCAGGUGCAGUUUUACAUGCAAAACCCAUAUACAUGAUCACAGGAAAUGCGGUGUCUUGGUUCCGGUGAAAUGCAUGUCCAAGAUGCUGUUCAUGUAUCUAGCAAGAAGGGGGCUGUCAGUUUCUUUUUGUUGUUGUACUGUUGAUGCUCAGUCCCAUUUAAAUUAGAGCAUGUUUACGUACAAGUGUGCCGAUAUUUUCUGCUAAUAUAUUGAAGCUAAUGAUGCUACCAUCUAAUCUUGAUUCACCGGAAACAUUGCAUAGCAUCAAUUUAAACACAGAAAAAUCUUUGGAGCGAUAGAUUGGCCAAAACACAAUACCGAUAAUCAACACUCUUUAUCUUGAGCAUGACCACCAAACUGGUAGUGUAAAACUAACAAAAAAUGACUGGGCAUCCUUGCUGGGCGUUGAGUAGUUGAAAAGCCGAGUUACCGGCAAUAAUUAGUAAAAAAAUGACAAUUGAUGCAACAUGUCAAAUCAAACUGCCACAACUAAUGUAUGAGAUACUUCUAUUCCAAAUUAUUUUUUCACACAAUAUCCAUUAGGUCCCGGGCAAAAUAUAGGUAAUUCAAAUUAAACCUAAUGAAGAGGCAGGAGAGGGGGCAGGUAAAGGAGAACGGGUCAUUGUCAUCGACAACAUCUCAGCAGGAGAGGGUUUCAGACAGUCUUUCUUGCACGCAUACAUGGACGGGUAGCACUCUAGAUUCGCAAGGCAACACAAGCAAAGCCAUCCAUCUUUGCACGGUUUACCAUUGACACAAAGCCCAUGCGGAAAAUUGAUCUUCUCAUCAUCCACGUCUUCUUCGAUGAUCCGACCUAUGGUACAAUAAUCAAUUAGCCGUUGACAUGGUAACUGAUCUCUCUGUGGAAGUGCAUACAUUGAGCAGUAGGUGCGGAGCAUAGGAGAUGGAGAGACAGUAGCAAGGCUAGACCGUAGAUGCGAAUUGUGUACCUGUCCAUCCUCUUCUAAUGCAGUUUGAAAAUGCUAGGGAAAAGAUACACACAAUUGGUCUAUCAACACAGGGCUUGUAUAGAUGGAGAGAUGGGGAUCCGGUGCAGAAAAGAUCAAGCAAUAAUAUAGUACCUAUUAACUGGCCUAAUUAAAAUUUGUAGUACUCACUCCGAUCCAUAUUAAUUGUCGCUUAAAUGGAUGUAGCUAGUGCUAUAUACAUCCAUUUGAGCGACAAUUAAUAUGGAUUGGGGGGAGUACCUCAUUUAGGAGCUUCAUACUAGAAGCACAUAUCUUAUGGUAGUACCAUUAUUUCUAAUAGGAAGAUUCCAACACUUGAUAAGACAUACCUAAAUAAGACAUUCGAGCAAUAAAGAAGAUUCCAACACUUGAUAGGAGAUUUCAUUAUUAAAAACAGAUUUCGACACUUCAUAAGACGUUUGCUCAAUAAAAAGUUCCAACACUUAUAAGACAUUCAAGCAAUAAAGAAGAUUCCAAGACUUGAUAGGAGAUUUCAUUAUUAAAACAUAUUUCAACACUUAAUAAGACAAUUGCUCAAUAAAAAGUUCCAACACUUAAUAAGACAUACCUACAAGAGAUAUUUCAACACUUAAAAACGAAUUCCAACGAAUGAAGAAAAGAUUUCAACACUUAUUAGGACAUAUCAACAAUAAAAGCAUAUUUCAGCACUUAAUAAUAUAUCUCAAGAAUAAAAAAAUAUUCCAGCACUUAAUUUCAUCCUUUAUAAAGAUUUCAGUAAUUAAUAAGACAUUUCAACAUUAAAAUAGAUAUCAACAUUUAAGAAUAUAUUUCAACACUUAAAAACACAUCCUGACAACAAUAAACAUAUUUCAUCAUUAAAUAACACAUCCCAACAAUAUAAACAGACCCCAGUGAAAAAUCUAAUCUAUUUGUCUGAUCUCUCAUCCUAGCCCAACCGAUAAAGUGGCCAUUCUAGACACUGGAGCAAUUUCCUAUAAAGUGUGUGUGCUCACUCACUUCGACCUGCAACAUUGUUCAAAAGUGAAACAUUACCAAACCUUCCAGUCGCCUCUAUUCCUACUCAAACCAACAUUUCUGAACAGAAUCCGCCAAAGACCAUGUCACACUAUGUUGGCCUGCUGAAGGACCUCCUCUGCCGCAUCAACGCCAACCUCGAUGAUCUCAAGUGUAACACUAGCACGACGUGGCGCUGUGCUCUCAUGCCGUUGUCCCCGUCGCUGGUCGUCGUCCUUGACGGUGUCGGUAGCUACCCCACCGCAGCCUCGCUUCCCAUGCGUCGCUUCUUCAACCUUGAACCCAUCCCUUUGGGUGUGCGUUGCAUCGGCUCUAGCAAUGGAUGUCUCGCCCUUGGCCAUCCUGUUUGUUACCACCAUGAUGGCCUCAACAUGCUCAGCCUCUUCAAUGCUGUCACGGACAUAGAGGUUUGUUUGCCGUCAAUCGUCAUUGAUCUAUAACGGUAGGGGCGUUUCGAAGAUCGUAUUCUCACCAAGCCCCGGUAGGCACGACUUCCUUGCCCCCGCCAUAUGCGAUGCCGACAGGCUCGUCUGUGUCACCGUGGGGGAUAUGAAGUGGACCUUCCUCAACCCCGUGCAACUUAAGGAUGAAGACCACCUCGUCGACCUCAUGUACCAUGAAGAAGGUAGGGUCUACUGCCUCACUCGGUGUGGAGGCAUCCAUGUGCUUCGCCUAUCGGAGCGGUGUCGUGGCCGGGGCAGAUUGGAUCUGAGCGCACUACUGGCCAUGGUUGAGCCAUUGUUGUCCUCAUCCAACCUUCCAUUCGACCCUGCUAGUAGUUUUGCCACACCAUACGACACGUGUCUGGUUACACUAGUGCCAAGCAGGCGCUUGGGUUCAAACUUUUAGGUUGGGGAAGCAGGUGCAGUUAUACAUGCAAGAUUCAUAUACAUGAUUACAAGAAAUGCGGUGUGUCGGUUCCGGCAAAAAACCUGAAGAUGUUGUUCAUGAAUGAGUUCAAAAGGGAGCUUGUGGUGGUUGAUUGAGGGGACACUUUUCAAUGUUUGCAGAUGAAAAAAUGUUAAUGUGCCACCGAUGAUCAGUUCCAUUUGAAUUAGAGCCUGUUCACAUACAAGUCUGCUGACAUUUUCCUUCGAUAUAUAUAUAUAUAUAUAUAUAUAUUUAUAUUUAUAUAUUGACGAUAAUGAUGCUACCAUAUAAUCUUGAUUCACCAAAGACUUUCUAUGUCAAGCGGUGAUGAUGCUACCCGUCUCACCUAAUCUUGACUCACCAGAAACAUGUCAUGGCAUCUAUUUAAACACACACUAAAAAAAUCUUAGGAGCGAUAGAUUGACCAAAACACAAUACUGCUAAUCAACAUUGCUUAUCUUGAGCAUGACCACCAAGCUCGUAGUGUAAAAUUAACAAAAAAUGACCAGACACCGAUAUUUGAAAAACUAAGUUACCAACGAUAAUUGGUAACAAAAAAGAGAUUAAUGCAACAUGUGAAACUAAACCGCAACAACUAAUGUAGAUACUUCUAUUCCAAAUUAUUUUUUCACACAAUAUCCAUUGGGUCCCGGGCAAAAUAUAGGUAAUUCAAAUUGAACCUAAUGAAGAUGCGGGAGAGGGGGCGGGUAAAUGAGAAUGGGUCAUUGUCAUGGGCACCAUGUCAGUAGGAGAGGGUUUUAGAUAAUCUUUCUUGUAUGCAAUCAUGGACGGGUAGCACUCUCGAUUGAGGAGACAACACAAGCAGACCCAUCCAUCUUUGCACGGUCUAUUGUUGACACAAAGCCCACACGGUAAAUUGAUGUUCUCUUCAUCCACGUCUUCUUCGCCGAUGAUCCGACUAUAUAUGGAACAACAAAUGAAUUAGGUGUGAAAGAAUUAGCCAUUGAAUAUGGUAACUGAUCAUUUUGGACUGAUUACCAAACAAGCAGCAGGCAAUGAAAGGUGAGAAAGAACUGACAACUCUUUGUGGAAGUGCAUACAUUGUGCAGUAGGUGUGGAGCAUAGGGGAUGGAGAGACAGUAGUGCCUAGAGCGUAGAUACGAAUCGUGUGCUUGUCCAUCCUCUGCCAAUGUAGUUUGAAAAUGCUAGGUACAAGAUAUGCAUGCUUGCUCUAUCAACACAUGGCUUGUAUAUAGAGAGAAGGGAGAUCCGGUGCAGAAAAGAUCAAGCAAUAAAAUAGUACCUAUUAAUUGGCCCGUAAAAUCAUAUUGCAGCAAUUAAUAAGACAUCCGAGCAAUAAAAACAUAUUUUAGUUCUAAAUAAGACAUGCCAACAAUAAAGUAAAUUUCAACACUUAAUAAGAGAUUUCGUUAUUAAAAAUAGAUUUCAGCACUCAAGAAGACAUUUCCACAAUAAAAAAGUUCCAACAAAGACAUUUAUAGAAGAGAUAUUUCAACACUUAAAAAACACUAAAUGAGAUAUCAACACUUAUUAGGAUAUUUCAACAAUAUAAAAGCACAUUUCAGCACUAAAUAAGAUAUCUCUAGAAUAAAAAUAUACUUCGAUACUUAAUGAGAGAUUACAACUUUUUAAAAGAUUUCAGCCAUCAAUAAGACACUUCAACAUUAACGUAGAUUUCAACAUUUAAUGAGACAACACGAAUACAUUUCGACACUUAAAAAACACAUCUCAAAAAAUAAUAAACAUGUUUCAUCAUAAAAAUUGCCAUUGAACAUUUAUUUGGUCAGAGGCAUGAAUACUAGAUGGAGUGCUCUAGAAUAACAACAUAUAAACAAAUUUAUGUUUCUUUUCUGAUAACUGAGAAUGUUGAUAAGA
rnacentral:lncRNA from 1 species